GAUGAACGCUAGCUACAGGCUUAACACAUGCAAGUCGAGGGGAAACGACAUCGAAAGCUUGCUUUUGAUGGGCGUCGACCGGCGCACGGGUGAGUAACGCGUAUCCAACCUGCCCACCACUUGGGGAUAACCUUGCGAAAGUAAGACUAAUACCCAAUGACGUCUCUAGAAGACAUCUGAAGGAGAUUAAAGAUUUAUCGGUGAUGGAUGGGGAAGCGUCUGAUUAGCUUGUUGGCGGGGUAACGGCCCACCAAGGCGACGAUCAGUAGGGGUUCUGAGAGGAAGGUCCCCCACAUUGGAACUGAGACUCGGUCCAAACUCCUACGGGAGGCAGCAGUGAGGAAUAUUGGUCAAUGGGCGAGAGCCUGAACCAGCCAAGUAGCGUGCAGGAUGACGGCCCUGUGGGUUGUAAACUGCUUUUAUAAGGGAAUAAAGUGAGUCUCGUGAGACUUUUUGCAUGUACCUUAUGAAUAAGGACCGGCUAAUUCCGUGCCAGCAGCCGCCGUAA
rnacentral:rRNA from 1 species